CCUGAGAACCACACAAUACAGAACCACAGAGCAGGGGCAGGGGCAUUUCACAAUACAGAACCACACAGCCUUGGGGGCAUUUUCGCAAACACCUCGCGGACACAGGAAACGGUGCAGCGUUCUCCACUGGACGAAGCCGUGCGACGGCGUCCCCCCUCGCCGGUGACGAAGUGGGUGACUGACCGGUGCGGGCUCGCCGCCGAAAUUGGAGGUGCGGCGCGGGCGGAGUGUGUUCCUGACGACCGGUCGGAGCACCGCGGCCUCCUCCACCCGCCGGGCUCGGGAUGUGGCCCUGCCCGCCUGCAUCAGCGCGCCAUCAGCCCUGCCGGCCGGCCGCCUCCACGCACCCCCGGUCGCAGCGGCAGGGCAGGGCGGCCUGGCGCCUCUUCGGUCGCGGCGGCGGCGCUGGCGGACGCCGAUCUGGAGCGAGGUGCGAGGCCGUCUCAGGCCGCGUGGCCUCCUGUUAGGCAUUUGUUUUGCCUGCGUGCGGGCCCAAGUAAAGCAGCCGUUCGAUUCGGUUUGGACGGCCAAGAUGCACGCAGUGUCAUCCUGUGACAUGCAUAUA
rnacentral:lncRNA from 1 species